UGGGGAAUCUUGCACAAUGGGCGAAAGCCUGAUGCAGCAACGCCGCGUGCGGGAAGACAGCCCUAGGGUUGUAAACCGCUUUCAGCAGGGAAGAAACUGACGGUACCUGCAGAAGAAGAUGCGGCCAACUACGUGCCAGCAGCCGCGGUGACACGUAGGCAUCAAGCGUUAUCCGGAUUUAUUGGGCGUAAAGAGCUCGUAGGCGGUUCGGUAAGUCGGGUGUGAAAACUCUGGGCUCAACCCAGAGAGGCCACUCGAUACUGCUGUGACUAGAGUGCGGUAGGGGAGCGGGGAAUUCCUGGUGUAGCGGUGAAAUGCGCAGAUAUCAGGAGGAACACCAGUGGCGAAGGCGCCGCUCUGGGCCGUAACUGACGCUGAGGAGCGAAAGCAUGGGUAGCAAACAGGAUUAGAUACCCUGGUAGUCCAUGCCGUAAAACGUUGGGCACUAGGUGUGGGUCUCAACCAACGAGAUCCGCGCCGUCGCUAACGCAUUAAGUGCCCGCCUGGGAGUACGGUCGCAAGAUUAAAACUCAAAGGAAUUGAC
rnacentral:rRNA from 1 species